rnacentral:rRNA from 1 species
UAAGGAAUAUUGCUCAAUGGGAGAAAUCCUGAAGCAGCAACGCCGCGUGGAGGAUGAAGGGCUUUCAGCUUGUAAACUCCUGUAAAGAAGGAAAAAAUUCCCAUUAGAUGGGAAAUGAUGGUACUUCUAAAGUAAGCCCCGGCUAACUACGUGCCAGCAGCCGCGGUAAUACGUAGGGGGCAAGCGUUGUCCGGAUUUACUGGGUGUAAAGGGUGCUCAGGCGGAUUUGUAAGUCAGAGGUGAAAUCUUACAGCUUAACUGUGAGACUGCCUUUGAUACUGCAAGCCUAGAGUAUGGAAGAGAGUGAUGGAAUAUCUGGUGUAGCAGUGAAAUGCGUAGAUAUCAGAUAGAACACCAAUGGCGAAGGCAGUCACUUGGUCCAUUACUGACGCUAAAGCACGAAAGCGUGGGGAUCAAACA